CAGCCGCCGCGGUAAUGCGUAGGGUGCAAGCGUUAAUCGGAAUUACUGGGCGUAAAGCGUGCGCAGGCGGUUAUAUAAGUCAGAUGUGAAAUCCCCGGGCUCAACCUGGGAACUGCAUUUGAGACUGUAUGGCUAGAGUGUGUCAGAGGGGGGUAGAAUUCCACGUGUAGCAGUGAAAUGCGUAGAUAUGUGGAGGAAUACCGAUGGCGAAGGCAGCCCCCUGGGAUAACACUGACGCUCAUGCACGAAAGCGUGGGGAGCAAACAGGAUUAGAUACCCAGGUAGUCCCUGUCUCUUAUAC
rnacentral:rRNA from 1 species